rnacentral:pre_miRNA from 1 species
UAGCUACUCCCUCAGUUCGGAAUUACUUGUCGUGAAAAUGGAUGUAUCUAGAUGUAUUUUAGUUCUAGAUACAUCCAUUUCCGAGACAAGUAAUUUCAAACGGAGGGAGUAGUUA